ensembl:misc_RNA 7SK 7SK RNA
GGAUGUGAGGGUGAUCUGCCUGUGACAUCUGUCACCCCAGGGAUCGCCAGGGUUGAUGCGGCUGAUCUGGCUGGCUAGGCGGGGGUCCCCUUCCUCCCUCACUGCUCCAUGUGUAUCCCUCCCAAAGCCGCACACGGGGUCAAAGAGGACGACCUUCCGGAUAGAAGUACCAUUCGGUCAGGGGUAGAGGAGUAGCUGCACUCCCCUGCUAGAACCUCCAGACAAGCUCUGAAGGUCCAUUUGUGGGAGACUUUAGGGUAGUCGGGCUUCCAAGACUCCAGGCACAUCCAGGCGAGGCCCUGCAGGUGGCCGUCUGCCUUUCUU